GUUCCCGUAGUCGGCUACCUAUUCGAGUGGCCAUGGACACGAGACCAUCCAAACACGUGGGCACAUCUCGGGCAGCAAGCUCGUCCUUGAUGGGGUCACACAAACCGUUGUAGAACGUGUCGAGUAGCGCCUCAGAACCCCACGAACACUCCGCUGCCAGGGUACGGAAUUUGAUGGCGUAAUCCGGAACGCUACUGUUGCCCUGCCUGAGUCGUAGGAGCUGGCGUGCCGCUUCCCUGCCGGACAGAGGGGCAUCGAAAACCUUCUUUACCUCCGCCGUGAAAGCCGCUAGGCUGUAACAGAUGGGCAAUCGUUGGUCCCAGAUCGGCGUGGCCCAGGCCAAGGCCCGCCCGGACAUCAUGGUAAUGAUGUAAGCAACCCGUGACUUCUCCGUAGGGAACGAGGACGGCUGGAGCUCGAAGAUGCGCGAGCACUGGGACAAAAAGGGAACACAAUAACUGGAGUCACCAGAGAACCGUUCGGGGGCAGAACACCUCACCCAAUAAAACAACUACAGAUGGAUCCGGGGGAGCUACAUGCAUGACUGACGCAGCAGGAGGAGCUACAUGCACGACUGAUGCAGCAGGAGGAGCUACAUGCAAGACUGACGCAGCAGGAGGAGCUACAUGCACGACUGACGCAUUAGGAGGAGCUACAUGCAC
ensembl:lncRNA